UUUUAGCCCAGAUGGUAACGAAAACCCCGGAAUUAUUCUAGUUAGUUUUUCUUGGUAUAAAAGAGCGACUCCUCACCCCCCGACCCCUCUCCAAAAGAGAGGGUAGCUCAAAUGGCUCCUUUUAUGCCUUAGAAAAACUGCUGGAAUAAUGAGGAGUUGUAGUGUACAGCUGGAUUAGCU
rnacentral:sRNA from 1 species